rnacentral:rRNA from 1 species
UACGAAGGGGGCGAGCGUUGUUCGGAAUCACUGGGCGUAAAGGGCGCGUAGGCGGCCCCUCUUAGUCGCGUGUGAAAGCCCCGGGCUCAACCUGGGAACGGCGCGCGAAACGGGAGGGCUGGAGUUCGGGAGAGGAGAGUGGAAUUCCCAGUGUAGAGGUGAAAUUCGUAGAUAUUGGGAAGAACACCAGUGGCGAAGGCGGCUAACUGGUCCGAUACUGACGCUGAGGUGCGAAAGCGUGGGGAGCAAACAGG